UCAAGUUAUUAAGGGUGCAGGGCGAAUGCCUUGGCACUAGGAGCCGAUGAAGGACGUGAUAAGCUGCGAUAAGCUUCGGGGAGUUGCACGUAAACUUUGAUCCGAAGAUUUCCGAAUGAGGAAACUCACUUAGAGUAAUGUCUAAGUAUCGUAUGAUGAAUACAUAGUCAUGCGAGGGGAACCCGGAGAACUGAAACAUCUAAGUACCCGGAGGAAGAGAAAGAAAUUCGAUUCCGUAAGUAGCGGCGAGCGAACGCGGAACAGGCCAAACCAAUGAAGUUUACUUCGUUGGGGUUGCGGACAUACAACAUGGAUGAGGUAUCGUAGAAGAAGAGAGUUGGAAAGCUCCGCCAUAGAUGGUAACAGCCCAGUAUUUUAAACGAGAAGACUUUAGAUAUGAUCCAGAGUACCACGGGACACGUGAAACCCUGUGGGAAGCAGGAGGGACCAUCCUCCAAGCCUAAAUACUACCUAGUGACCGAUAGCGCAUAGUACCGUGAGGGAAAGGUGAAAAGAACCCCGGGAGGGGAGUGAAAUAGAACCUGAAACCCUGCACUUACAAGCUGUGGGAGCACAUUACUUGUGUGACCGCGUACUUUUUGUAGAACGGGCCAACGAGUUACGUUAAGUAGCAAGGUUAAGCACUUAAGGUGUGGAGCCGUAGCGAAAGCGAGUCUUAAAUGGGCGUCCAGUUACCCGACGUAGACCCGAAACCAGGCGACCUAUCCAUGAGCAGGUUGAAGCGAAAGUAAAAUUUCGUGGAGGACCGAACCCACGUACGUUGAAAAGUGCGGGGAUGACUUGUGGAUAGCGGUGAAAUUCCAAUCGAGCCUGGAGAUAGCUGGUUCUCCCCGAAAUAGCUUUAGGGCUAGCCUCAAGCUUAGAGAAACGGAGGUAGAGCACUGAAUGUCCUAGGGGGUAUUGCACUUACCGAAGACUAUCAAACUCCGAAUGCCGUUUUCUUUUACUUGGGAGUCAGACUGUGGGUGAUAAGAUUCAUAGUCAAAAGGGCAACAGCCCAGAUCGUCAGCUAAGGUCCCUAAAUGUACGUUAAGUGGUAAAGGAUGUGGGAUUGCACAGACAACCAGGAUGUUGGCUUAGAAGCAGCCACUCAUUUAAAGAGUGCGUAAUAGCUCACUGGUCGAGUGAUUCUGCGCCGAAAAUUUCCGGGGCUAAAACUUACUACCGAAGCUACGGCAUCAUUAUGAUGGGUAGGGGAGCUUUCUGUGCGGCUUGAAGCAUGACCGUAAGGACAUGUGGACUGCAUAGAAGUGAGAAUGUUGGCAUGAGUAGCGAGAUGUGGGUGAGAAUCCCACAGGCCGUAAACCCAAGGUUUCCAGGGGAAGGUUCGUCCGCCCUGGGUUAGUCAGGACCUAAGCCGAGGCCGAAAGGCGUAGGUGAUGGACAACAGGUUGAUAUUCCUGUACCACCAAUAACCGUUUGAGAAAUGGGAUGACACAGUAGGAUAAGCUAACCGCACUGUUGGUUAUGUGCGGGCAAGUAUUGAGGCAGUUCCGAUAGGCAAAUCCGUCGGAAUAAUGCUGGGGUACGAUGCGGAGCGAAAUUUAGUAGCGAAGUAGCUGAUUUCACACUGUCGAGAAAAGUCUCUAUCGAGGUUAAAGGUGCCUGUACCGCAAACCGACACAGGUGGGUGAGGAGAGUAUCCUAAGGCCAGCGAGAGAACUGUUGUUAAGGAACUCGGCAAAAUGACCCCGUAACUUAGGGAGAAGGGGUGCCUUCGAAAGAAGGCCGCAGAGAAUAGGCCCAAGCGACUGUUUACCAAAAACAUAGGUUUCUGCUAAGUCGCAAGACGAUGUAUAGGAGCUGACGCCUGCCCGGUGCUGGAAGGUUAAGGGGAUCUGUUAGAGCAAUCGAAGCAGUGAACUUAAGCCCCAGUAAACGGCGGCCGUAACUAUAACGGUCCUAAGGUAGCGAAAUUCCUUGUCGGGUAAGUUCC
rnacentral:rRNA from 1 species